rnacentral:misc_RNA from 1 species
GAAAACGAUGGUGCUGGUGCGCCGCCCAGCCACCCGGCUCUGUCUUGCCGAUACGCAACACUUUCCAGCAGCGCUGUACAUGUGUUGCCGCUGUUGUGCGCUUUCACCGAUGACUGUAGAGCACGCGGCGUCCGACUUGCUCGCAUAUAGCCUACGGUUUUGGAACUAGCGUAUAACGCGUUUGUGCUCGUCUUGGCCACUCCAUUGACCCGUUUACGACCCAGCGUCCAGGGUUGCCAGAUAUGGCGCUCGACUUGGCAGCCGACCCAGAGGCGUUUCGGCAACUCGAGUCUACCCACCAGAUCGUCGUCGUUGUCUUCUACCGGGGACGCUGGUGUGCGGUUUGCUGCGCUUGGCUUUCGCGAUUCCAGGAUACGCAACCGGCACUGGAAACCUUUCUGGAACAACAUGACGCGUGUUUGGUUUUUGUCUCCGCCCAGGAAGCGUCCGAGAUGCAUCGCCUGGUUGACAACAUACCCUGUCUCAAAUGUGAACGUGUUUAUUUGCUUGCAGAUGAGCGUACCGAGUUCACGCGCUGGUGGAACAAGCGCGGUUACGGUCAAGUCUUCAUUUCACCGACCACAAAGCAAUAUGGGUAUCGAUAUUCGCACGGACUCUUGCAACCAGCCUUGUUCAUUCUUCAUCAUGGCGAGUGUAUGUACAAGUGGUGCAGCCUCCCGAAUGUGCGGAAUCUGGGCGGCGCCACUGGACGUCCGGAUCCUCCGCUUGUCUUGGCAGCGGUGACCGAGCGCUUCGCCUCUGAUGCAGCAGGGUCGCUUGCUGGCGGUGAAAGGACGAUGCCAGCUACACGGGAACGUACAUGGGUGUUUUUCCGCCGCAUUGUUCGUAGGUUAUUCGGGAAAUUUUAAUAUGCAUAUGGAUCUACAGGUAGACAGCGUGCAUGCUGGGCAUCGCGGGAGCGCUCCACUGCGCUUCGAUAUGGCGAUUCGAUGGCGCUCGCUGGCAGCGGAUUCCCCGCUCAGCCGUACCCAUGAUGACCCGCUCCUGGGUGACGUCCAUUGCAGCAAUACCUGCCUCGCUGCGAGCAUUCAUGGUCAUUGUGGUAUGCCAAAGGUCCCUGGGUUGACCAAGCCCGCUUUGCGUCAGCGGGAAUGCACUGGAACGGGCGGUGCUUGGAAACGUUCGCGUCGGCGCUGGGGGCCAGGCGCUGCUAAUCCGCAGCAAUGCUACCUGCUGGAGGGACUAGUUCCACUGAUUCAUUGGAUAUUGCGAGCAAUAAAAUAUAGUGAGAUCGCAAGGCGACCAGACCUUGGGACUCGGUGUUCGCGCUCAUGCCUGAACGAGCAGAUACUGCGGAGAAGCGACGCUUGAUCCCGCCAUCCGCGAGGCAACUAGCGCGGUAACGGAGUACCUCAGCCGGCCCUGGCGCAUCAGCAUGGACGCUCGGCCAUCCGCAUGGGACAACUGCUUUUCUGUGGCAUGCCUUCCAUGCCACUCGCCGUGUCAAGCGUCGUGCCACUGCUGCUGAUUCUGAUGCAAGCCGCAUACGCUGGAGGCGGUCAGCAACUGCAUCGAAGGUCGGCUUCGUACUCCUGCGGAUCCCGGGCGACAGCCCAUGCGGUGCACAUGAACCCGCCACGAGGCAGUGUUUUCUACUCUGGCGAACGACGACUUGCUGCAAGGCAGCUGUGACAACAGGGAAUUCGGAUCCAGCGCUUAUGAUGAAAGCAGCCGCCGUACCGUGGCUAGUCUCGGUAGACAGAAAUAGACCAUCUGCGGGCACGCAUUCUCCAGGCCAGCGCUGCCGCGUGGUGGUAUUGUGUCGGAGAGCUGCCGGCCUCAGCGGGCAGUUACAACCAGUGGACCGGGAUACGCAAACGGCAGCUCGCUGGCUUCCCUGCGCCCGGUAGUCUCAUUCAGCGAGUGAUGCUGGAUUUGACUCAGGCCCUGCCGGUUCCGAGUCACAUAGAUGUACGAGUCAGCGUACUCCCGAAUAUGAAGAUAAUCGAGGAAGCGCUCUUCAUGGGUUAUGAGUAUAAGCUGAAAAUUGCGUUGCUGUGCACGUUGUUGGAUCAAGAGAGAUAGCGAUGCAGCGAGCGCUUUCACGUGGCUCUCGUCCAGGUUGGUCGUCGGCUCAUCGAGCGCGAGGACCCCGCAGGCGUUCCCAAAGUUUUCCGCCAGCGCAAGGCGGAUCAAGAGACAUGCGAGCACUUUUUGUCCAGCCGAGCAGCGACCACGCAUAUCAAGCCAGGUAUCACCCUGGCGCAUCACUACCCUGUAGUGAUAGGUCCGACGACCCAUUGGAAGCGAGUCCGCCACAAAGUCGGAUCGUAUCUCGAUUUCCUCGAUAUCGGAGCCGAGGUAGGUGCUCUGCCAGAGCUCCCGCAGCACUCGAUUGAUGCUGCGCAUCUUGAGAUCGUGAUAGCGCAUGAUGGCCAAGUCCAGCGCCCGAUGGUAAUUGCGCAAAUCCCUGCAGACCAGCUCGAUCACGUCACACUGCAAACGAAGCGCUUGGAACUGUUGCUCCGCUUGUGCAAAAACGUCCGCAUCGAGUUCCACGGUGAGUGCCCGCAACUGCUCUGCGAGUAAAUCACGC